AGGACGAACGCUGGCGGCGUGCUUAACACAUGCAAGUCGAACGGAAAGGCCCUUCGGGGUACUCGAGUGGCGAACGGGUGAGUAACACGUGGGUGAUCUGCCCUGCACUUUGGGAUAAGCCUGGGAAACUGGGUCUAAUACCGAAUACACCUCGCUGGUUGCAUGACCGGUGGGGGAAAGCUUUUGCGGUGUGGGAUGGGCCCGCGGCCUAUCAGCUUGUUGGUGAGGUUACGGCUCACCAAGGCGACGACGGGUAGCCGGCCUGAGAGGGUGUCCGGCCACACUGGGACUGAGAUACGGCCCAGACUCCUACGGGAGGCAGCAGUGGGGAAUAUUGCACAAUGGGCGCAAGCCUGAUGCAGCGACGCCGCGUGAGGGAUGACGGCCUUCGGGUUGUAAACCGUCUUUCAGUAGGGACGAAGCGCAAGUGACGGUACCUACAGAAGAAGCACCGGCCAACUACGUGCCAGCAGCCGC
rnacentral:rRNA from 1 species